AACAAUGAUUCUUGACAUAGAAUACACCACUUGGAAAAUAAGUUGUAUAUACAGGUGCAUCUCAAUAAAUUAGAAUGUCGUGGAAAAGUUUAUUUAUUUCAGUAAUUCAACUCAAACUUGUGUAUUAAAUAAAUUCAGUGCACACAGACUAAGUAGUUUAAGUCUUUGGUUCUUUUAAUUGUGAUGAUUUUGGCUCAUAUUAACAAAAACCCACCAAUACACAAUCUCAACAAAUUAGAAUACUUCAUAAGACCAAUAAAAAAAAAAUAAUAGUGAAUUGUUGGCCUUCUGGAGAGUAUGUUCAUUUACUGUACAUGUACUCAAUACUUGGAAGGGGCUCCUUUUGCUUUAAUUACUGCCUCAAUUCGGCGUGGCAUGGAGGUGAUCAGUCUGUGGCACUGCUGAGGUGGUAUGGAAGCCCAGGUUUCUUUGACAGUGGCCUUCAGCUCAUCUGCAUUUUGGGACAUACCUGUACAUACACACACUGCUAGGAGAACUGGGUAAAGGUGCUGGGAAAGGAGGCGGGGGUGGAGGUGCGGUGAGGGAGGCAGGAGGUGCGUUUGGCAAGAAACAGGCAGCUGAGGAGGAGAUGUACUUCAAGUGAGUGGUUUUGCUUGAUCCCAUUGUGAAUUUCAUCAGUUAUACUUACGGUGGCCUAGAAGUGCAAAACAGAUUACAAUUCUGAAAACAAAAUAACAAAUUGCAAAUGCAAAUCUAAAAAACAAAAUAAUGAUUCGGAAAACACAACAACAAUUCAGAAAACAUUAUAACAAGUCAGAAAACACAAUGUCUUGAAUCGAUUUUGCUUGACAAUCCUCAUAAAGCUGCGGUUCUCUCGGUUGGUUGUGCAUCUUUUUCCUUCCACUCAACUUUCUGUUAACAUGCUUGGAUACAGCACUCAGUCUUCCCCAUGAUUGUGUAGCCCAGUGAACCAAACUGAGAGACCAUUUUGAAGGCUCAGGAACCCUUUGCAGGUGUUUUGAGUUGAUUAGGUGAUUGGCAUGUCACCAUAUUCUAAUUUUUUUGAGAUAGUGAAUUGGUGGGUUUUGGUUAAAUGUGAGACAAAAAAACACACACACUUAAAAGAACCAAAGACUUAUACUACUUCACUCUAUGUGCAUUGAAUUAAUUUAAUACAUGAGUUUCACAAUUUGAGUUAAAUUACUGAAAUAAAUGAACUUUUCCUCGACA
ensembl:lncRNA